rnacentral:lncRNA from 1 species
GGCAGAACAGUGCCUUCAGGUCAGUUCCUGGUUCAAGACCGGCCUCUGCCACUUGCUCUUAGAGGUAAAGAGAGCAGGGCCUGCCCCGUUCUUCACUUGCAGGACCAUUUGUUCAGGCAGCAUUUGCAGGGACUCGUAUUCCGAAAGGAGGGUCUAUCCAGGAGCUUGAGAAGGAGAGCACUCAGCCACGAGAGCAUCGAGAGUGCCAGAAAAACAUCCCAAGACUCACACAGGGUUGUGCCUCAUAGUGGAUGUUUUGGCCACUGGACAUCAGAACCACAUUUUGAGUUUGAAGAAUCUUCUACAUGCUGAGAAAGUGGAAUUCCAGAGACACUCCUGAAAUUGUCCUAAGUUAAAGGAGCCAGUGUGCCAGCUCCCUCUCUGCCAUCGCCUCUGAGAGCAGCCAUGGCCCUGAGUGAUGUCGAUGUGAAAAAGCAGAUUAAGC